rnacentral:rRNA from 1 species
GUAGGGGGCAAGCGUUGUCCGGAAUUAUUGGGCGUAAAGCGCGCGCAGGCGGUUCUUUAAGUCUGAUGUGAAAUCUUGUGGCUCAACCACAAGCGGUCAUUGGAAACUGGGGAACUUGAGUACAGAAGAGGAGAGUGGAAUUCCACGUGUAGCGGUGAAAUGCGUAGAUAUGUGGAGGAACACCAGUGGCGAAGGCGACUCUCUGGUCUGUAACUGACGCUGAGGCGCGAAAGCGUGGGGGGAGCAAACAGGAUUAGAUACCCUGGUAGUCCACGCCGUAAACGAUGAGUGCUAGGUGUUAGGGGGUUUCCGCCCCUUAGUGCUGCAGCUAACGCAUUAAGCACUCCGCCUGGGAGUACGGCCGCAAGGCUG